UCAUAAAAUCCUAAUUUUUUAUUUUUACCAAUUGUUAAAUAAAAAAUAAUUAAAUUAUUCUAGAUUUAUUAAUUAUACAAUAUAUAUUACUU
rnacentral:miRNA from 1 species